rnacentral:rRNA from 1 species
AACGAACGCUGGCGGCAUGCCUAACACAUGCAAGUCGAACGAGACCUUCGGGUCUAGUGGCGCACGGGUGCGUAACGCGUGGGAACCUGCCCUUAGGUUCGGAAUAACUCCCCGAAAGGGGUGCUAAUACCGGAUAAUGUCUUCGGACCAAAGAUUUAUCGCCUUUGGAUGGGCCCGCGUUGGAUUAGCUAGUUGGUAGGGUAAAAGCCUACCAAGGCGACGAUCCAUAGCUGGUCUGAGAGGAUGAUCAGCCACACUGGGACUGAGACACGGCCCAGACUCCUACGGGAGGCAGCAGUGGGGAAUGUUGGACAAUGGGCGAAAGCCUGAUCCAGCAAUGCCGCGUGAGUGAUGAAGGCCUUAGGGUUGUAAAGCUCUUUUACCCGGGAUGAUAAUGACAGUACCGGGAGAAUAAGCUCCGGCUAACUCCGUG